AACGAACGCUGGCGGCAGGCUUAACACAUGCAAGUCGAACGCACCUUUCGGGGUGAGUGGCAGACGGGUGAGUAACGCGUGGGAAUCUACCCUUCUCUACGGGAUAGCUCCGGGAAACUGGAAUUAAUACCGUAUACGUCCUGAGGGAGAAAGAUUUAUCGGGGAAGGAUGAGCCUGCGUUGGAUUAGCUAGUUGGUGGGGUAAAGGCCUACCAAGGCGACGAUCCAUAGCUGGUCUAAGAGGAUGAUCAGCCACAUUGGGACUGAGACGCGGCCCAAACUCCUACGGGAGGCAGCAGUGGGGAAUAUUGGACAAUGGGCGCAAGCCUGAUCCAGCCAUGCCGCGUGAGUGAUGAAGGCCCUAGGGUUGUAAAGCUCUUUCAGUGGGGACGAUAAUGACGGUACCCACAGAAGAAGCCCCGGCUAACUUCGUGCCAGCAGCCGCCGUAA
rnacentral:rRNA from 1 species